rnacentral:rRNA from 1 species
UACGUAGGGACCGAGCGUUGUCCGGAAUCAUUGGGCGUAAAGAGCGUGUAGGCGGCCACUUAAGUCCUGCGUGAAAUCUUGCGGCUCAACCGCAAGCGGUCGUGGGAAACUGGGUGGCUAGAGUGCGGGAGAGGAGAGUGGAAUUCCUGGUGUAGCGGUGGAAUGCGCAGAUAUCAGGAGGAACACCGGUGGUGUAGACGGCUCUCUGGACCAUAACUGACGCUGAUGCACGAAAGCUAGGGGAGCAAACAGG